rnacentral:rRNA from 1 species
UAGGGAAUCUUCGGCAAUGGGGGGAACCCUGACCGAGCAACGCCGCGUGAGUGAAGAAGGUUUUCGGAUCGUAAAGCUCUGUUGUUAAGGAAGAACGAGUGUGAGAAUGGAAAGUUCAUGCUGUGACGGUACUUAACCAGAAAGGGACGGCUAACUACGUGCCAGCAGCCGCGGUAAUACGUAGGUCCCGAGCGUUGUCCGGAUUUAUUGGGCGUAAAGCGAGCGCAGGCGGUUAGAAAAGUCUGAAGUGAAAGGCAGUGGCUCAACCAUUGUAGGCUUUGGAAACUGUUUAACUUGAGUGCAGAAGGGGAGAGUGGAAUUCCAUGUGUAGCGGUGAAAUGCGCAGAUAUUAGGAGGAAUACCGGUGGCGAAGGCGACUUUCUGGCCAUAAUCUGACGCUGAGGUACGAAAGCGUGGGUAGCAAACAGG